GUCGAGGAUCUUCGGCAAUGGGCGCAAGCCUGACCGAGCGACGCCGCGUGGGCGAUGAAGGCCUUCGGGUUGUAAAGCCCUGUCGAGGGGGAGGAAGGCGCAAGCUUGACCUAUCCCUGGAGGAAGCACGGGCUAAGUUCGUGCCAGCAGCCGCGGUAAGACGAACCGUGCAAACGUUGUUCGGAAUCACUGGGCAUAAAGGGCGCGUAGGCGGUCGGUCAAGUCUGGGGUGAAAUCUUUCGGCUCAACCGGAAACGUGCCCCGGAUACGGAUCGGCUGGAGGGAGGUAGGGGUCGACGGAACUUCCGGUGGAGCGGUGAAAUGCGUAGAUAUCGGAAGGAACACCGGUGGCGAAAGCGGUCGACUGGACCUUUUCUGACGCUGAGGCGCGAAAGCCAGGGGAGCAAACGGGAUUAGAUACCCCUGUAGUCC
rnacentral:rRNA from 1 species